rnacentral:rRNA from 1 species
CUACGGGCCGCAGCAGACGAGAAUCUUCCGCAAUGGACGAAAGUCUGACGGAGCGACGCCGCGUGCGGGAUGAAGGCCUUCGGGUUGUAAACCGCUGUCAGUGGGGAGGAAAUGCAUCAGGGUUCUCCCUGGUGUUUGACCGAUCCGCAGAGGAAGCGCAGGCUAAGUUCGUGCCAGCAGCCGCGGUAACACGAACUGCGCGAACGUUAUUCGGAAUCACUGGGCUUAAAGAGUUCGUAGGCGGCCUUUCAAGUCGGGUGUGAAAUCCCUCGGCUCAACCGAGGAAUUGCGCCUGAUACUGUUGGGCUUGAGGGGGAUAGGGGUGGGCGGAACUGAUGGUGGAGCGGUGAAAUGCGUUGAUAUCAUCAGGAACACCGGUGGCGAAGGCGGCUCACUGGAUCUCUUCUGACGCUGAGGAACGAAAGCUAGGGGAGCGAACGGGAUUAGAUACCCGCGUAGUC